GACGCGGCCGAGACUCCCUUCUUCCCUAGCGUCGACAGCCGGCCGAAGCUUCCAUUCCUCCUCGUGCCUCUGAUCUAUUGCGAUUGCUUCCCUGAUUCUUCCCUAGAGCCAGCAGCCAAGAUCCCUCCAGACGAUCGCGUCUGAGGAUAGGGUUUCCUUCAUCCCGGUGGUAGGACAUCGUGAUGUUGUCGAUCACCAUGAUGCUAGAUCUUAGUUGUUGAUGGCAGAUUAGGCGGCUAGCAACACCUCUCCAUUGAUCACAGCGGUGCUCUACUACUUGCUGCCACCAUAGAGCUGCUUACCUUGAAUUGCAGUAGCCGGCAGCCUUCAUUCCAGUAGAAAACAAGCCUUCACCAGCAGCAAGAACGGCUGUGAAUUGAGGACUCUAAUUCGAGAUGAGCAUCUUGACGUCAAAUUUGGAUCGGAUUGGACCAUUUCUUAUUAGAGGCGGGUACUUUGACUUAUGUAUUUUGAUAUGCAUAAUAAUGUGUUUAACAUAUAGCAUGAUUGUGUUUUCCAUUUGUU